UUCAAAAUUUCAAAAAUCGUUUUCAAAAAACGGUUUUUCCGGCAGGCGAUGGGGGGUUGCCAUCGCGACAGAGGGUGUUUAGCACCCGAGACCAUAUGGCUCUGUUGUGUAGAAUUUGUAAGGGUAGUCUUUUUUGUAGAAGCAGUAGUUUAGCCAUAUGUGUCCUGUCAAGGACGAUUUUCGGGUUGGGUGUUUCGAUAUAAAUGAGGCCGCUUUUAAAGUUCUCUGACGAAAUGAUUUUUGAUUGGAAGUUAUCGGAUGGGGGAGGUAGGUAUUUGCUGGUGAUUGGUGGUUUUGUGAAGUAUAGUGUGUUGUGGGUAUAUAAAAGGAAAUCGGAGUGCGGUGGAAAUUUAGUUGGUUAAGGGAAAUUGUGAGAAGUUUGUUGUGUGGAUUGUGUUGUAAGAUCUUAUUUGAUAGUUUGAUAGCAAAGGUUGUUGUAGUAAGGUGGAGAGUGGUUUGGAGUGCCUGGAAAGAGGUGUUUGAAUGGAUUUUGGCAGAUUUGUGACAAGGUAUUUUGAUCCGUUUUGAGAUUGGCAAGUGAAGUUGGAGUUAUGAGAGACAGGUGGGUGCAAUAUUCCGUUUAGAGGUUUACAAAUGUUUUUUAUUGUAGAUUAAAAUCGGAAAAAUUUGGAGAACAUGACUUUCAUUCCGAUUUUUGUUGCGGUUGUUUGGUUGUAUGUUUGAGUUGUUUUUGUAUACAUGCCAUUUUAGGUGUAUGGUUUUUAUUGGUAAGUGUUUUAAUUUAAUUUGAUUGUGCAAAAAUUUUUAUUUGCUGGUUUUUUAAGGUAUUGAAACGAAAAUGGGGGACAAGAAUUUGGUUGCAAAUCGUUGACGACAGUGGUGUUGUGGAUGUUGUGGGAUAUAAUCAAAUUCAGCAGCAAUUAUUUGGACAUUCAGCUGCUGCGCAUCAAAGCGGAUUGAUUGGGAUUCACGAUUUUUCAGCUAUGAAUAAGCAAUAUCGCGUCAUACUGAAACAGUCUUAUGCUUAUAUUGAAGGUCGGAGCAAAGAAACAAUCAGCAAAACGUAUAUGGAAGAAAAAAAGCCAGACGAAAUUCCAGGAAGUGCUAUGGAUAUUGUUGUCACUGACGACAAUACAACCGUACUGCAGCCUGACUCCAGCAAACGAUCUGUUGGAACUCCGAAGAAACGAAAUAAAUGAAUGGAAUAGCAUGAACCGUUGCUUUUACUUUGAGAUGGACCAAUCGUUUUCAUUUUUAUUGUUGUUAUUUGAGCGAUUCAUGAAUUUAUUACCGCCAUUAUACCAUUUUUCUAAGUGCAUUAUAGUUAUCUGUGGUAUUAUUAUCUGACAGUGGUG